UGGACUGGUGUGGCAGGAGGAGGAAGAAGAAAAAAGAUGUAUCCCAAGGAUACGAAGACCACACUGGAAAGUGGAUUGAUCUGCCUCAUGGUGAAAACGGAAAUAAGUCAUCAAAAGAGGAGUAUGCAAUGACCAAUUCUGUGGCUUACAUGGAGGGUGGACCUUACCAGGAACGCGCUGUUGAAGAGAAAGAACCCGAGAGCAAUGGCAACAACACCCAUAUGUAGCGUGGGAUUCAGGAAAGGAAGGAACGACAAGGACAGGAAACCAAGAACAAGAACAAGAACAAGAAACAUUUAAAGCACAAGCUAACUUUUUAAUGAAAUUUACGCUGACGUGAUGUUUGAUAUAUACUUUGACAGGGAAAUUGAAAGUGGUUUCUUGAGGAGAUAUGUCUUGUCUUAUUAUCGUCUUGUUUUGGAUUUCAAAAGGACAGCUUCCUGUUUUUAUAAGCUUGCCAACCGGGUGUUCAAAAUCUCCCAUCAUUUUUAUACUCGUGCGACUCAAACUACUUUUAAGUCGAGUUCGUUGCAUUUAUUCCCAUAAUGAAUCUUGGGUUAUAAAAUUGUUCAUGCAAUUUAAUUUUGUCUUAUUAUCGUCUUGUUUUGGAUUUCAAAAGGACAGCUUCCUGUUUUUAUAAGCUUGCCAAACGGGUGUUCAAAAUCUCCCAUCAUUUUUAUACUUUAUACUUUUAUACUUUUAAGUCGAGUUCGUUGCAUUUAUUCCCAUAAUGAAUCUUGGGUUAUAA